rnacentral:rRNA from 1 species
AGUCUGAUGUGAAAGCCCACGGCUCAACCGUGGAGGGUCAUUGGAAACUGGGGAACUUGAAGACAGAAGAGGAGAGCGGAAUUCCACGUGUAGCGGUGAAAUGCGUAGAGAUGUGGAGGAACACCAGUGGCGAAGGCGGCUCUCUGGUCUGUGCUUGACGCUGAGGCGCGAAAGCGUGGGGAGCGAACAGGAUUAGAUACCCUGGUAGUCCACGCCGUAAACGAUGAGUGCUAGGUGUUAGGGGUUUCCACCCUUAGUGCUGCAGUUAACGCAAUAAGCACUCCGCCUGGGGAGUACGGCCGCAAGGCUGAAACUCAAAGGAAUUGACGGGGGCCCGCACAAGCGGUGGAGCAUGUGGUUUAAUUCGAAGCAACGCGAAGAACCUUACCAGGUCUUGACAUCCUCGGACCACCCUAGAGAUAGGGUCUUCCCUUCGGGGACCGAGUGACAGGUGGUGCAUGGUUGUCGUCAGCUCGUGUCGUGAGAUGUUGGGUUAAGUCCCGCAACGAGCGCAACCCUUGACCUUAGUUGCCAGCAUUUAGUUGGGCACUCUAAGGUGACUGCCGGUGACAAACCGGAGGAAGGUGGGGAUGACGUCAAAUCAUCAUGCCCCUUAUGACCUGGGCAACACACGUGCUACAAUGGAUGGUACAAAGGGCAGCAAAACCGCGAGGUCGAGCAAAUCCCAUAAAGCCAUUCUCAGUUCGGAUUGUAGGCUGCAACUCGCCUGCAUGAAGCCGGAAUCGCUAGUAAUCGUGGAUCAGCAUGCCACGGUGAAUACGUUCCCGGGCCUUGUACACACCGCCCGUCACACCACGAGAGUUGGUAACACCCGAAGU